AGUGAACGCUGGCGGUAGGCCUAACACAUGCAAGUCGAACGGCAGCACAGUAAGAGCUUGCUCUUACGGGUGGCGAGUGGCGGACGGGUGAGGAAUACAUCGGAAUCUACUUUUUCGUGGGGGAUAACGUAGGGAAACUUACGCUAAUACCGCAUACGACCUACGGGUGCAAGCAGGGGAUCUUCGGACCUUGCGCGAUUGAAUGAGCCGAUGUCGGAUUAGCUAGUUGGCGGGGUAAAGGCCCACCAAGGCGACGAUCCGUAGCUGGUCUGAGAGGAUGAUCGGCCACACUAGAACUGAGACACGGUCCAGACUCCUACGGGAGGCAGCAGUGGGGAAUAUUGGACAAAGGGCGCAAGCCUGAUCCAGCCAUACCGCGUGGGUGAAGAAGGCCUUCGGGUUGUAAAGCCCUUUUGUUGGGAAAGAAAAGCAGCAGGUUAAUACCCCGCUGUUCUGACGGUACCCAAAGAAUAAGCACCGGCUAACUUCGUG
rnacentral:rRNA from 1 species